rnacentral:lncRNA from 1 species
CCCCUCAGGGGAGGUGUUGGGUAACGUGGGGGGGGGGUUUGUGUGCAGAGGGCACUGGGUGAACUGGGAAGGAUGGGGGGGGAACUGGGAAGAACUGGGAAGAACUGGGAGGAACUGGGAGCGUUUAUUGGGAUUAUUUACAGCUUUGUACAUAGAAGGAGACCCCCCCACCCCUCAGGGUCGCCCCACAACCGUGCUAUGUGGGGGGAGGGGGGGUGGGGCAUCCCAUAAUGACCCCACAGAGACCCCACAACAUUUGGGGACUCUUUAGGAUCCCUGGAUCACCCCAUAACGACCCCAUAAGACCCCUGGGGACAUCAGGGACCCCAAGGCCGCCCCCCCCCCGUCCCCAUAAAGACCCCCUGGAGGCACUUGGAGACACCUGGGACCCCAGGCCACCCCAUAAUGUCCCCACAGAGACCCCUGGGGACAUCAGGGACCCCAAGACCACCCUUAACAUCCCCAUAGAGACCCCUGGGACCCCAGGCCACCCCAUAACGUCCCCACAGAGACCCCUGGGGACAUCAGGGACCCCAAGACGACCCCACAGUGACCCCCUCCCCACUCCCCCAAUGACUUUUGGUGACACGUGGGGUCACCAUGGGCCCCUCACUGGGCGGAUUGGGGACUCUGUGCCACGCCGGCCCCGUUGGCCUUCCCAAAGGGCCCCCCAGUGGGGCCGGGGGGAGGCUGGGGGCUGUCCCCAGGUUCUGAUUUGGGGGUGGUGACGGCGGUGGCCGCGGGGGACGCGGUGGCGGAGGAUGGGGACAGCUGAGGUCCCGGGGUGGUGGGGAUCGUGGGGUUGGGUUUGGGGUCACCGCUGGUGGGAGGAAGGGACACCACGAUGUACUUCUGGACGCUGCCCGUGACGGUGGCACUGGGGGCCGUGGGGGCUGCAGACACCAGUUUGACCACGGGUUGGACGCUGGGGACGGUGGUGGUGACGGGGGAGGUGGCGGUGGGGGCAGGGCUGGUGCUGAAGGUGAUGACCUGUGGGGAGAAUGGGGGCGUUGGGGGGACUGGGGGCAAUGGGGGGACCUGGGGGG